rnacentral:lncRNA from 1 species
AGUCACCUGCCUAGUGCCGAACAGGUGCUUGUUGAAAUGCUUCUUCGAAGUUGAACUGAGGUAAUACUAUUUUCCUUUUUAGCUUCUGACAAUGCUAUGCUUUGGUUUACUUUUUGAGAGCCUUACAUGAAUAUCCAUUAGGACAUUCUUUCUCUACUUGCUGCAAUAAAAGUUUUAAACUGCUUAUUUAGAUGGAUUUUUCUACAAAUCAUUCACUUUCAGGGGAAGAACGUGCUUGUUGCCGGUUUUACUUUGACUAAGUCAGUAUAGUAGUUAUCAGGUUCGUUAUGAAUAUGCACUGAUGUUCACUACAAUUACAAAGUAGAAAGCAAGAUUGCGUCUUUUUAAAUUUAAAUUUUUUAUCUUAUAGGUUGACAAACUACUUUGCUAUCUAAUAAGUAGCAAUCAAAAUGAAUGGACCAGCAACAGCGAAACACUGAUAACUCACAGUGGAAACAAUUAUAUACUGAAGUAUGACAAGAUGGAGGAAUGUACUGCAAUUGCUUCAAAAAAAUAGGAAGGAUUUCAGCUCAAAACUGUUAUCUAGGCCAAU